GUUGACUUUGGAUUACAGCUUAUAGGCGCUGAUCUUAUGUCAAUACUUGGCCUUUACAAAUUUGUUCAGGGAAACUUGGUGGAACAAAAGGAUUUGCGAAGGAAGGCUCACUGCUAGUACUAGUGUAGAGAAAAACAGAAGGCUUUUUUUCUGUAAAUUUCUGGAACCUAAAUAUUUAAGAUGGAUAAGUCAUGGAUGCAUGCUGAUAGAAGGUCAAAGAAGUUUGAGCUAGGAGUAGCAGAGUUUCUCAAGUUGGCCGAGUCUAAUGCCAAUAACAAAAACAAG